rnacentral:sRNA from 1 species
AAAAAUCUCAAAUUUUUUUCCGUCAUAUUUUGUGAUUCAAAAUUUAAAAAAUGAACAUAUAUUAACCAAUUGGCGAAAAAUAUGUGAGUUCAACGUCCCAUUUUGACUAAAAUAUUUAGAGAAUGAUUCAUAAACAUAUCAUAAAUAAGAUCAACAUUAACAAAAUAAAUGGUUUUUUUUUUUGCGGGACGAGUUUGGCAGGACGUUACUUAAUAACAAUUGUAAACUAUAAAAUAAAAAUAUUUUAUAGAUAGAUAUAAUA